GGAGAUUUUAAUGAUUUCAAACUUUGACUGUAGUGUAUAAUAUAAUGUUUGUUACAUUACUGUAAAUCAGAACUUUUACUAAUGAUUUGUAUCUAUUGUUUUAUGAAAAGCAGUAAAGAAGUGAAAGGCAGUGAUGAGGAUAUUUACACAAAUUGCUCGAAAGGUCGUGUUUAUGACAACUGGGGGUGUGAUGCAACACCAUUCUCAUCUGACCGUGCCUUGAAAGAUGAAGCAGUCUACGCUAACAUGUGAAGAUAAGAGCAAAUCCCAUCCUACUAGAAAUCACACAUACAGAGAAAGACCAAAGAGGCAAACACAUUUGUGUUGACUUUUGUAGAUCUGAUAUGCACAGAAAAUGUUCAGAGCCAAAGAGGUCUUGCAACUGAGAAAAACAUACCGUGUGUGAAUCUUAUACAAUCAAAAGGUUUUAAUAUAUAAAGAAUGUAUCUAUAAAGACAAAAUAUAUUUAUAUUUACAUAUAGUCAUUUAGCAGUUACAUACAAAGUGAUUUACAAAUGAGGACAAUAGAAAGCAAUCAAGACCAACAAAAGAGCAAUAAUAUACAAUAUGUAGUGUUAUUGAGUUUAAAUGUCAUUCCAUGUAAUCAAAUAGAAAACUAUAUAAGUAUUACAGUAGUAAAAUGAAUUGUAAGCACAAUAAUAACUGCAUUAAUAUUACAUUAAAACAUAGCUUACCUAAAAAUGAAAAUUUGGGGAACUCUCUCAGCCCAUCCAUGAUGUAGAAGUGUUUGCGUUUUUCAGAGCAGAUGUGGAGAAAUUAAGCAUUACUUCACUUGCUCACCAAUGGAUCCUCUGCAGUGAAUGGGUGCUGUGAGAAUGAGAGUCCAAUCAGCAGAUAAAAACAUCACAAUAAUUCACAAGUAAUCCACACAUCUCCUAAAAUGUAAGAAUGUAGUUUUGGGUUGGACUAUUCCUAUAAUCUAUAUUCAUGUUACGUGGUAUUGGUGGUAUUAUUCCCUUGGGUGUGGGGAAAAAAACAGUGUUAAACCAAUACCCCAAGGCAUGUAAUCUGCAAAAUGCUUUAGAUUGUUAAAGGGGUCAUCGAAUGCCCAUUUUCCACAAGUUGAUAUGAUUCUUUAGGGUCUUAAUGAAAAGUCUGUAACAUAGUUUGGUUAAAAUUUUGCAGUGGUAGUAUAAAAGAGCAGUGUUUAUUUUGACCGCAAUAUUUGUGUGAUUUUCUGUCUUUCUUUUGUUGCUUGAUUAACAUCAAUGACUCGGACAAUAGCUACUAAAUUAGGCUGCUAUCCCUUUAAACCGAAUGCACAGCUGCAAUAGAUAUAAUGUACUGAUACACGUCCAAUAUUCUUCCUACUGUUUACAUUCACUUAAGACUUUAUGUGAAUACUCGUCAAAACAGACAAUUCUGCAUAAUUUUGUAUGUAUUUCUCCGUUCAUGUGAUGCGGAAAAAACUACUCGCGAGUCGCGUGCUGUGAGAAGCGCUUUCUGUGUGUAUGCUUCAGUGUCUGCGCUCAGAAAACCAUUCCGAAUUGAGUUCUCUCUUGCGUCGUCAAAUUUAUCCAUAUGUCUGCUCUUCUCUUACUCCCACAUAUCGAAAUUUUUUAACGUUUUAGGAGAC
rnacentral:lncRNA from 1 species